GGGAUUGCCUCAGUAACGGCGAGUGAAGCGGCAACAGCUCAAAUUUGAAAUCUGGCUCCUUCGGGGUCCGAGUUGUAAUUUGUAGAGAGUGUUUCGGGGGAGAGCGCGGUCUAAGUCCAUUGGAACAUGGUGUCAUAGAGGGUGAGAAUCCCGUAUGCGACCGCGAAUCGAACCCAUGUGAAGCCUCUUCGACGAGUCGAGUUGUUUGGGAAUGCAGCUCAAAAUGGGUGGUAAAUUUCAUCUAAAGCUAAAUACUGGCUGGAGACCGAUAGCGCACAAGUAGAGUGAUCGAAAGAUGAAAAGCACUUUGGAAAGAGAGUUAAACAGUACGUGAAAUUGUUGAAAGGGAAGCGCUGGCAACCAGACCUGCCCGUAGGCGAUCAGCCGCUGUUCUCAGCGGUGCACUCGCUCUGCGAUCAGGCCAGCAUCGGUUUCGGCGGUCGGAUAAAGGCCUUGGGAAUGUAGCUUCCUUUCGGGGGAGUCUUAUAGCCCUCGGUGCAAUGCGGCCAGCCGGGACCGAGGACCGCGCUUCGGCUAGGAUGCUGGCGUAAUGGUUGUCAGCGACCCGUCUUGAAACACGGACCAAGGAGUCUAACAUCUAUGCGAGUGUUUGGGUGUUAAACCCAUGCGCGGAAUGAAAGUGAACGGAGGUGAGAACCCUGAAGGGCGCAUCAUCGACCGAUCCAGAUGUCUUCGGAUGGAUUUGAGUAUGAGCAUAGCUGUUGGGACCCGAAAGAUGGUGAACUAUGCCUGAAUAGGGUGAAGCCAGAGGAAACUCUGGUGGAGGCUCGCAGCGGUUCUGACGUGCAAAUCGAUCGUCAAAUUUGGGUAUAGGUCAGUAAACAAAUAGUUCCAAAGACAUUUGGAUUCAAUGCUAACUUUUUUAAUAGGGGCGAAAGGUAAAGACUUCCGUAUGAUCUGGUGUAUAGAAUUCUGGGCUAACUUAUUUUUCCAGACUAAUCG
rnacentral:rRNA from 1 species